rnacentral:lncRNA from 1 species
CAGGGGAAGGUUAUGUAGGGGAGCAGAAAGGUUGGAGAUAAGCUGUGGGGUACCGGCUGGGAAAGAGGAGCAGGAAUCUGUGGAGAGGAGGAAGUUGGAGACCUUUUGUGUUUGGCAGGACCAGUUGGACACUGUGAAUUGCUGGCGGGGGGCCCAAGAAGUUCUGGGGGAAGGUGAGUUCAGUAUAACUCAGAGUGCAGUAGCCCAGACAAGACAGACCUCGCUCUCUUGCAAGAUGCCAAACAUAAGAGAAUGCAGAGCAUUGGAAACAAGUUAA